rnacentral:rRNA from 1 species
UGGGGAAUAUUGCACAAUGGGCGCAAGCCUGAUGCAGCAACGCCGCGUGAGGGAUGACGGCCUUCGGGUUGUAAACCUCUUUUAGUAGGGAAGAAGCGAAAGUGACGGUACCUGCAGAAAAAAGCACCGGCUAACUACGUGCCAGCAGCCGCGGUAAUACGUAGGGUGCGAGCGUUGUCCGGAAUUAUUGGGCGUAAAGAGCUCGUAGGCGGUCUGUCGCGUCUGCUGUGAAAACCCGAGGCUCAACCUCGGGCCUGCAGUGGGUACGGGCAGACUAGAGUGCGGUAGGGGAGAAUGGAAUUCCUGGUGUAGCGGUGGAAUGCGCAGAUAUCAGGAGGAACACCGAUGGCGAAGGCAGUUCUCUGGGCCGUAACUGACGCUGAGGAACGAAAGCGUGGGGAGCGAACAGGAUUAGAUGACCCUGGUAGUCCACGCCGUAAACGUUGGGCGCUAGAUGUGGGGACCAUUCCACGGUUUCCGUGUCGCAGCUAACGCAUU